GAUGAACGCUGGCGGCGUGCCUAAUACAUGCAAGUCGAGCGAACGAGCGUGGAGCUUGCUUCUCUGGUAUUAGCAGCGGACGGGUGAGUAACGCGUGGGGAACCUGCCUUUAAGCGGGGGAUAACUUUGGGAAACGAAUGCUAAUACCGCAUAAAAAUUUUAAACACAUGGUUCAAGAUUGAAAGACGCACUUGCAUUACCUAAAGACUGUCCCGCGCUGUAUUAGCCAGUUGGUAAGGUAAAGGCCCACCAAGGCAAAGAUGCAUAGCGGAACGGAGAGGGUGACCGCCCAAUCGGGAACGGGGACACGGCCCAGACCCCUACGGGAGGAAGCAGUAGGGAUUCUUAGGCAAUGGGCGAAAGCCUGACGGAGCAACGCUGGGUGAGUGAUGAGGGUUUUCGGAUCGUAAACCUUUGUUAUUAGGGAAGAACAUAUGUGUAAUUAACUGUUCACAUAGUGACGGUACCUAAUCAGAAAGCCACGGCUAACUACGUG
rnacentral:rRNA from 1 species